AUGAUGGGCUGUUGGGGAAUGCAGGGCCAGCGCUCUAGGAAAGUGAAACUGCCUUGCAGAGGGAAAGCAACGCACUGUGGCCCCGAAAGACCCAGACCGCCAGCGGCCCCGGGCAGCCGCCGAGGGCACCGGCUCACACUUCCUGCCUCUCACAAGCUCUUGCUUGGCAUGCAUUGGUGACUUGAACUGGGGGAUUAACCCAAAAAGAUCAAGUGCGAGCUCAAGGCGGAUGAUGAGAACAGAUUCGGGGCUGGUUAACCUCAGAGAGCGGGAGUCCGUUGGUGCUAAUGAGGCCAAGGGAGCCUGGCUCCUUUCUGCCCCCAGGCAGGUGAGAAAGAAAGAACGGAGACGAAAGAGGGCCCGCUGUGUCUACUCAUUUUGGCCCGGAAGCCCAGCUCGACCCUGAGGCCACAAACUGCCCCCUACUGGAGAAAUCGCUGCAGGAUUUCUCCUCCAUCAAAUCGCUGUGUCAGAGCCAGUGGGGGGCUUUUAAAAGACGCCCACGCUCAGGCCCCCACCAGGCCACCUACAUUGGAAUAUCUGAGGCUAAGUCCCAAGCUAGAAUUUCCCAUCUUCUUUCUGGCCUCGGGAGAUUUUGCAUCUCCUUCCAGGGAAGGAAGCCUGACUUCUGAAAUGAUUCUCACGAAGGAGAAGUGCUCCGUUCUGCAGUGAGCCUGACCAGGGGGGCCACACCACAGACUCCCAGGAGGCUUCUGCUCUGCGUGGUUCUUCUGCUCUCGUUUCCUUAACGAUUAGGCCAGAGCAUCUCUGCUCUUGUAAAAUAUCAGGCAAUUAGAUCUCGAAGUCUUUGAAGUGGGCAGAUUCACCAGGCGUUGGACUGAAGUUUCUAUUUGUCCUGGCACUGAGAAUAGCAAAGGAACAGGGGGACUGAACUGGUAUGGAAAGAGGCAUAGAGAGGUGAAGUACCUUGUUGAUAUCUUCUAGACCGGGCUGGCGGCAGGGUCUCUUGCUCUCAACCAGAGGAAGUAGAACAACGAAAGAAUAAGGAAGCCAGUUGCCAUGUCAUGGGGAGGACACUCAGGCAGCCCCGUGGGGAGACUCAUGUGAGGAGGAACUGAGAUGUCUUGCCAACAGCCAUAUGAGGGAGCCAUCUUGGAAAUCUUGGGACUUGGAAUCUUCCAGUCCCAAUCAAGUCUUCAGAUGACCAGAGCCUCAGCUGAUAACUUGGCUGCAGCCUCAUGAGAGACCCUGAGCCAGAACCACUCAGCCAAGGUGUUCCUAGAUUCCUGCCUCUCAAAAACUGUGUGAGAUAAUAGAUGCUUAUUGUUUAAAGUUGUUUAGGGUAAUUCAUUGUGUAGCAACAGAUAACUGAAACAGGAGGCCCUGCAUUUACUCUUUUUUUUGGAGACAGAGUCUUGCUGUGUCACCCAGGCUGGAGUGCAGUGGGGCGAUCUCCACUCAUUGCAACCUCCGCCUCCUGGUUCAAGCAAUUCUCAUGCCUUAGCUUCCCGGGUGGCUGGGACUACAGGAGUGUGCCACCAUGCCCAGAUAAUUAUUUUGUAUUUUUAAUAGAGACAGGGUUUCACCAUGUUGGCCAGGCUGGUCUCAAACUCCUGACCUCAAGUGAUCUGCCUGCCUUGGCCUCCCAAAGUGCUAGAAUUACAGGCAUGAGCCACCGCAGCCAGCCUACAUUUACUCUUAAAAUGCUAUAAAUGCACAGAGUGCUUUGAAGAGUCUUUUAUCCCAAUGUAUUCCAACUAUAUUUCUUUUAAAAAUUUAGGGCAAUUCAGGCAUUUUAAUGCAUGUGGCCCUCCCCCUCCUACAUUCCCCCACCCUUCAUUAUUUCAAACUGGAGUGGUCUUUUGAAUUUUUUCCUGAACGUGUUUCUAGAAAGUUUAUACCAAGUAAAACAGCUAUAUCCAAGUUCCUAGUAAUUAUUACAGCAAUUACAAGGGUUCCAAGUCUAAUAAAGUAAUCUAAGGGCAGGAGGUUUGGAGGCAUGGUUAUUUCUUGGCAUUCUUCUAAUGACAGCCUGGAGCUGAGUAGCAUCUUGGCAGUUGUCUACUCUGUUUGAAUACGUUAGACUGCUCCUGACUCUGUCACUUGCUAACUGUGUGACCUUGGGCAAAUGAUCAAACUCUCUGUGCCUUAAUUGCAUAUAAAUUUUGGAAUCUAAUUAUAAUACCUGCUCUGUGGAAUCCUGGGGAAGAUUAAAAUGAGAGGUGGUAGAGCAUGGUGCUUAUGAACAUUGAACCAAAUUGCCUGAGUUUGAGUCUUAGCUCCAGUGACUUUUCUAGCUGUAUGAUCUUGGGAAUGUUACCUAAUCUCCUUGUGCCUCAAUAUUCCACAUACAUAAAAUGGGGUGAAGUGGGGAAAUGGUGCUUACCUCCUAUGACUGUCAUGAGAAUUAAAUGGAGCCAAUUCAUAUACUAUUCCUGGUACACAGUAAGUAGCAUAUGGCAAGGAUGCUAGGUAUAGUUGUGCAGGUUGUUCGCUGUUCAAGGGCUCAGAACUGAGAGGUCAAGUGAGGGCUUGCCAGGCCAUACACUUUGGUAUGAGGUUGCCUACCUAGAGGUGGCGCUGUUUUCUAAUUUGUACCAGGCCCUAUAUCAGCCAGCUGUCAGCAUAAGGGUUUGUAGUAUCCAGCAACCACUACCUUAGCACUAUCUUUAGGCUUUAGGCUGAUGUUCACUAAGCACAUGCCAGUUUUAUUAUAACUGUUACUUGGUAGCUUCCUGGAGUUCUCCAGGAUAACAUCAGUGGGAUGCCUAUAUCCCAAACCUUGCCAUUACCAUUCAGAUACAAUGCUGAAAAUCAAAUAAAAAAUAUUAGCAAGGUAAAAAGUUUAAAAUCCCGCAGGACAAUAUUAUAUAUUGCUUAGACAUACAUACAGAUUUGGUUCAAGUAUAGAAAAAUGCAUAAGAAUGAUAAACCCCAUAUCUGGAUUAUGGGUUACCUGGGGUGGGGAGGAAGUGGAAUUAGAAAGGGAUGAAGGAAGCUUCGGCUCUAUUCAUAAUUUAUUUCUUCAGCUUAAUGGUGGCUACAUAGUGUUUAUUAUUUUUUAAUCUUAAAUAUUUAAAAAUAAUGUAUAAUUAAUACUAUUAAAUAAGACCCGUCUUUCUAUGUAAAAACUAAUUUUGCAUUUCUCUCCUCAUUAGUCUCUGUUAAAUAUUAAAUCAGUACAUUGAUUGGGAAUGACAGAAUCAAGCAAUCAUUCAUUCAACAAGUAAACACUUGUUGAAUGAUAGGAUGUUCAAAGAGCUAAGAACUUCAUCCAUAUGCUGUAAUACUUAGAACGCUUGUAACAUUUAUAAUAACCUGUUUGGUUAUUUGACUACGUUUUCUUUUUUCUGUGAGAGCAGAGUCUCUGUCUUAUUCAUAUUUAAGAUUUCUGCUCCGUAAUAGGUGAUAAAUAAAUGUUAAUUUAAACCGAAUGAAACAUAAAUAUGAUUAUUAUUGUCCUGAAAGAGCUUUCAAUACACUAGAAUAAUGCAGGUCAUAAGUGCCAUAAACGAAGAGCAAAGGGAAUUCACUUACGCAUUCAUUCAUUUGAAAACCAUUUACUCGGCAUCUGUUAGGCACUGAGCACAUGACUAUAAACAAGAGAAACACAGACUUUGGUUUUUACAGGGCCAACUUCUCACCACUUUCAUCACUGUCUAACUGGCCUACGCUGCCAGCAUCUUUUGUUUGGAUGGUUGCAAUAAUCCAAUACUGAAAUCCUGACUCAUCUCCCUGCUUCCACUUUGCUCCCCUAUCGUAAAAUCUCAACCGUGUCCAGAGAGAUCCUCUAAAAACCUAAGUCAGAUCAUGUCACUCCUCUGCUCUGACACCUUCAAUGGCUUCUCAUCUGUAGGAGAUUGCAGAAAUUGCCAUAAUUAUUUAAAUUUUUCCUAUCGAGAAGUGAAGUCUGUUUCUCAACUCAUUGAGUCUGAGCUGGCCUUGUGACUUUCCUCGGCCAAUAGAAUGUGGCAGAUUCUGAGUUCUGUGCUAGCUCUGAGCUUGGGUUCCAUGGGGCUUCGAAUGCUUCUGUUCCUACUCUUGGAAUCCUGCCACUAUCAAAUAAACAUACUCUGACCAGCCUGUUGGUGGAUGAGAGACCAUGUGGAGGAGAAAUGCCCAAGGCGAGGCCAGGCCAGACCAGUCAAUUAUCAGCCAACUUACCAGCUGUCUGAGGACACAUGACCGAGCCUAGCCGAGAUCAGCCUAGCCCAGCCUAUCCCCAAAGAACCUUUCAGAUGACCCACAGACUCAUGAGCUAAAUAAAUGGCUUGAGUCAUUGAAGUUUCUGGUAGUUUUUUGGGCAGUGAACACUGAUACACUAUCUCAUUUAGACAAAAAGUCAAGCUUCUUUUUACUAACUGUAUCCCCAGUACUUAGUGCCUGGCACAUGGUAGAUGCACCAUGAACAUUUGUUGAAUAUAUUAAUAAAGGUGUAAAUGGUUUUAACAUUCUAUUGAGGGAAACAGGAAAAAGAUAAAUCAGUAAACCAAUAAAAUAAGUAUAAAAUUGGGUAAGUACUAUGGGAGAAAUGAAUAGUAGCUGAGGUAGAGGAUAAGAAUGAAGGUGGAAGGGGAAACCCUCCAUGGGCUCACUGUGUCUUUCAAAAUGAAAGCUAAAAUCCUGAUGGUGGCCUCUAAGGCCCUCCCUGACCGGGCCAUUACCUCACUGACCUCAUCGCCUGCCACUUUUGCUGCCUCUGAUAUCCAACUAUCUGGCCCUUCUGCUGUUUUUCCAAUACUCAAGCACACUUCCACCUCAGGUCCUGGAAUGUCCUUCCCUGAGACACUCCCACCAUUCACUCCCUCUCUUCCUUCGAAUCUCUGCUCAGGUAUCCCCUCUUUGGGCAAGGCCCUUCUGACCACCCAGAAUUCCCUAACCUCCAACCCUGCUUUAUUUUCCUCCAUAGGAAAGGAAUUUUGUCUUGCUUAGUUUAACCUUAGGGCAAUAUUGUCUUAGUCUAGAAAUUCAGCUCAUGGAUACAAAAAUCCUCUAGGAGCCGUAACUUCCUGUCCUAAAAUUUAAUAAGGCAAAUGUUUGGCUUCAAGCCAUACUGGGAAUAAGGUAAGGCCUUUUGAAAAAGCCACGAUGCCCAGGUGAGGGUUGAAUUGAUCACUGAGAACUCUACAAAUGCACUCAUGGCAAGGCUGGGAAUACCCUACACUUACCCUCUCGGUCAUUUACUUCAAAGUCUGCGGGGCAUUCUAAUCCAUGUUGUCAUUUGCUUUGUGCCAUAUUCCUAAGAGGUAGGCAGGGCAGGUUUUAUCAUCCUCUGUUUACAGAUGAAGAUAAUGAAGGUCACUGAGCUCAAGUGAGCUACCCAGGGCCACACACAUGUAAAGUGGUAGAACCAGAAUUUAAAUCUUGGUUGGUCUGACUCCAAGUGUAGUAUUUGUUUCACUUUUUUUUUCUUUUUCUUUCUUUUUUAUUUUUUUUUUAACUGUUUCUCCAUUCUGGGUUCUGACCAGGUGACCUUGAAUCAUAAAGAUUCAGGGCCUAUCUUGAGCUGCUCAAUAUGGAAGGCAUCUUUUCUCUAAAGAGUGUGAGCUCCCUGCCAAGCAGCACAGGCGCUUAAUAGGCUUUCAGAGCAGCAAUUCUAGAGCCUC